rnacentral:rRNA from 1 species
AUACGGAGGAUCCGAGCGUUAUCCGGAUUUAUUGGGUUUAAAGGGUGCGCAGGCGGCCAUUUAAGUCAGCGGUUAAAUCGUGGGGCUCAACCCCAUUCUGCCGUUGAUACUGGGUGGCUUGAUUGCGGUCGAGGUUGGCGGAAUUCGUUGUGUAGCGGGGAAAUGCAUAGAUAUGACGAAGAACACCGAUUGCGUAGGCAGCUGACCAGACCGCAAAUGACGCUCAUGCACGAAAGUGCGGGGAUCGAACAGGAUUAGAUACCCUGGUAGUCCGCACAGUAAACGAUAAAUACUUGUUUUCGGCGAUAUAAUGUCGGAGGCAAAGCGAAAGCGAUAAGUAUUCCACCUGGGGAGUACGCCGGCAACGGUGAAACUCAAAUGAAUUGACGG